UUUAAAAAAUUUAGUGGACAUGUUUUGGUCUAUUAUUACGGGAAUAAUAGUUGUAAGGUAUUAUUUGCAAGAAUUUAUCUCUCUCUCUCUCUCUCUCAAAAGUUAUAUGGCUUAUUUUAAGAAGUUUAUAUUGAACCUGGCUUUGCUCUUUAUGAUGAUUUUAUCAAUGAAAGUGGCAACAACGGCAAGGGUACCACUAUGGAAAAUUGAGCCUCAUCACAAAACAUAUGGAAGCCCAAUUUAUGUUGUUAAUAAUCGUCCUCGUGACCACAACUAUAUUAUUGAUCCUCCUCCUGAAUGUUGUUGAUCAUAUUUUCGAACUUCUUGCAAAGAUGAUCACAACAUUUAUAAUGAUGGCAAAGAAUAAAAAAGAGAGAAGAAGAAGAAGAAAGAUCCAAGCAAAACUUCUGGAAUUGCAUAUGAGUUUGUGUCCAUACAUUAUAGCUAAGGUUCUAUUUUGCAAGGCUAAUUUUCGAACUUAUAGUAGAAAGCUUAUAACUUAAUUAGUGACUAAAAUGUAACCUACAUAGAUUGAUUUGGUGGUAAAAGCUUAUAUAGCUAAUAACCCACGUAGAUUUUAUCCAGAACAAUUUUAAUGAUUGAUUUAGUUUCA